rnacentral:rRNA from 1 species
UAAGUCCUACGGGGGGCAGCAGUGAGGAAUAUUGGUCAAUGGGCGCGAGCCUGAACCAGCCAAGUCGCGUGAAGGAAGACGGUCCUAUGGAUUGUAAACCUCUUUUGUCGGGGAGCAAAGGACGCCACGUGUGGCGUUCCGAGAGUACCCGAAGAAAAAGCAUCGGCUAACUCCGUGCCAGCAGCCGCGGUAAUACGGAGGAUGCGAGCGUUAUCCGGAUUUAUUGGGUUUAAAGGGUGCGCAGGCGGAAGAUCAAGUCAGCGGUAAAAUUGAGAGGCUCAACCUCUUCGAGCCGUU